rnacentral:rRNA from 1 species
UACAGAGGAUGCAAGCGUUAUCCGGAAUGAUUGGGCGUAAAGCGUCUGUAGGUGGCUUUUUAAGUCCGCCGUCAAAUCCCAGGGCUCAACUCUGGACAGGCGGUGGAAACUACCAAGCUGGAGUACGGUAGGGGCAGAGGGAAUUCCCGGUGUAGCGGUGAAAUGCGCAGAUAUCGGGAAGAACACCCGUGGCGAAGGCGGCUCUCUGGACCGUAACUGACGCUGAGGCGCGAAAGCGUGGGGAGCAAACAGG